GGAAUCUGAUAUGUGAAGAGUUAAGGCAUUGCCAGUGGUCUGGAAGCUGAGUCAUGAUGGAGCUGAGAUUCAAACCCAGGCAUUUUGCUUCAUUGCUCACGUGUUGUCAUCUUGACUAUAAAUGAGGAAUCUUGCAGCAGGGGAGAUCAUGAACAAAGUUGGUAGUUUUUGAGAAGCUGCCCUUGAAGACAUGUCUAUCCUGUCUUGCUGUGAUCCCCCUCCCCCAACUUCUUGAGUUGCUUCUCUCUGGGGAGAUAUUAAAGGAGCAGAAUUCCAGCUUGGGAGAGAAGUGUAGCCCUCAGCAGCAGCCUGCUCUGUCCUGGACCAGCUAAGUGGAUUCCUCUUUGGGACAGAGAGAAGUCCGGUUUCUAUGACAAUCUAUGGCCGUUCUGCCAAGACUGCCAGCUAGGGUGCCUGGCAGUGCUAAUUGCUAUGCAGACAUCCGUUCAUUAGACUUUGACCUAGAAUUACUAUCAUCUUUCACAAGAAUUCUGGAGAGAACUACAGAUGCUGAGUGCUUUACUUUGGUUAGCCUAAGAUAAAAUACCCAGGAGGAGUGAACAUUGGUAUUGGAGUCCAUGUAUGAAGCCACUGGAAAUGAGUGCUGAAGUUCUUCCAGAAAACAUUUUAGAAUGAGGUGGGAAUUCAACAACACUAAUUUACCAUGGACCACUUUCAGAAGGGUUGUGUGAUGGCAGAACAAUUUCCAAGUGGGAUUUCGCUCAUGUGAAAACAACUGCAUGUGAACAGAGGAAAAAAAAAGUUUCUGUAUUUUGAAAAAUGUAGUGGUAAUACUUAAAUGAAGAUUAAUUUUUUCCCCUGUGGCUACACUGUGACUUUGAAUGAAACCAAUUAAUUCCCACUGUGUGCAGCUAAACAUCAUUGUCUCACUGAUGCUGGAGCCAACGCUGCCCCAACCAUGACUCACUGGGAGCACUUGUUUAAGUGGAAGAAUUUUGCCUUUCUGCAUUGUUAGCUGUCCCAACCUUUGAUUUUUCUCUGUGAACAUGGGUCCUAGUCUCUGCUAAACAUGGGCAUUUUUUCUUGCCACAAUACCCAAACUACCUACAUGUGAGGUAUAUUUUUUUCUCCAGAUGCAUUUAAAAAAAAACCCACAAUUUUUAGUCCUUUCCCUCAUCCCCACUUUUUUUCUGCUGUAGCUCUCCGCCUUUCAUACAAAGGACCAGAGCCCAGCCCCUGUGAGUGCUGGGCAGCCAGCAAAGUCUCAACAUGCUGCUGGUGUGGGAGGGGAUUCUGUGUGAGCAAGCUGGCUGCCACAUCUGGGGGAGGCCCGAGUGAUGAAAGAUGGCAGCUGAGAUGAUGGGAGAGGAGUCAGUUUCCGGGAGGCAGGGGAAGGCUCCUCUCUUAUUCCCCUCGCCUAGAUCCAAAUGCCAUUUGUGUGAAUCAGCUGCCACUUGGCCUCAAGGGACUUUGCUGCCAGAUGCUCACUCCCCUUCCCCCUUCUUGAAGCGAGGGCCAAAUUCCCUCCUGACCUCUCCACCUGCAGUAGAUGUCUUCUAGGGCCACUUGACUGUCGCAGGGCGUUCAGGGUACAGCAGCAGGCUUUUCUCUCAUGCAGAAUGUUAUAGGGCUCUGAAAGUAACAAUGAAGGAGCUGGAGUUACUCUGAGUCACAUCAGUGAGCAUCUUUGUGGGCACGUUCUCUAACAUCGUUGAGCAUUUACUGUGUGUGGGCUCUGUGCUAACUCCUGGGUAUGCA